rnacentral:tRNA from 1 species
UAUGGCAGAAAAUAUGCAAUAAACUUAAGAUUUAUUUAUAAAGAAUUAUCUUUUAUUAGAA